GCGAGCAUAGCUCAACCUGGUCAGAGCACUUGACUGUGGAUCAAGGGGUUGCGGGUUCAAAUCCCGCUGCUCGCC
rnacentral:tRNA from 1 species